rnacentral:rRNA from 1 species
GGGCCCGCACAAGCGGUGGAGCAUGUGGUUUAAUUCGAUGAUACGCGAGGAACCUUACCAGGGCUUAAAUGCAGAGCGACAGAGGUGGAAACACCUCCUUCUUCGGACGGUCUGCAAGGUGCUGCAUGGUUGUCGUCAGCUCGUGCUGUGAAGUGUCGGGUUAAGUCCCAUAACGAGCGCAACCCCUAUUUCUAGUUGCCAGCGGUUCGGCCGGGGACUCUAGAGAAACUGCCAGCGUAAGCUGUGAGGAAGGUGGGGAUGACGUCAAAUCAUCACGGCCCUUACGUCCUGGGCCACACACGUGCUACAAUGGUAAGGACAGAGAGUUGCCAACCCGCGAGGGUGAGCUAAUCUUUAAACCUUAUCUCAGUUCGGAUCGAAGUCUGCAACUCGACUUCGUG